rfam:Alcanivorax pacificus W11-5, complete genome.
GGGCCGUUAGCUCAGCGGUAGAGCAGUUGGCUUUUAACCAAUUGGUCGAUGGUUCGAAUCCAUCACGGCCCA